GUGAAUCAACAAAUCUUUGAACGCAAAUUGCACUCUCCGGCAUUCCGGAGAGUAUGCCUGUUUGAGGGUCGGUUUAAAUAAAAAUCGAGGUGUUGCCUUUUUGUGACCCAUCGGAAUUGGGCUAUCCGUGACCUUUUAAAAGGUUUAAGUGACCUAAAAUUGAUACCUUGUGCAUCUCAGACGUACAUAAGAAUAUUUUUUUAUCCGUCCGGAGUUGCCAACUUUUAUUAGGUAUGACCAUAUUGUUUGUGGCAUCGUAUCUAUAAUAUAUACUCAUAUUUUGACCUCAAAUUAGGUAAGA
rnacentral:misc_RNA from 1 species